GUCAUUGUUGCUUCCCAGCCGCCGGAGCACCGCCGUGUUCUCGCCGCCGGUAAUCCUUCUUCCUCUCCCCUCUCGUCGUUCUCCUCCCUUUUGUUUCUUGUGUUCAUUUUCUCACUUCCUCAACUCGUCGCUUCUGUUUGCUUGAACCAACGACAGCCGCCGCGGCCCAGCCGCGACCUUCAAACCAGCUCCACCGUCGCUUCUCCUACCACCACCAUCCUUGUUGUGUUGUGCCGCCCUCCUGCUGCAGCGCCACUACACUGGCCGUCGGCUUCUUCUUCUUUUUCUUUUCUCUUUGCUUGCUCCUCUCGCACGCACCACCACUAGCACGCGCCGCCCAGGCUUCUCUCGACCACCUGCGCCGCCGUCGCGCUGCCUCCGCGACCACCUGUUCAUGCUGUCGUGCAGUCCGCCGCCGGCCAGCUCCUUAUCUCCCUCUUUGGUGGAGAAUUCUCCGUAGGCGACUUUUAAAUUAUUAAAGUGGUCUCGCAGUUUGUUUACACAAGUCUCUAAGGAUCAAUAAGCGUUGCCCAUCUACAGGUUUGAAGAUGAUGCAUCAUUG